CGGGACACGUGGUAUCCUGUCUGAAUAUGGGGGGACCAUCCUCCAAGGCUAAAUACUCCUGACUGACCGAUAGUGAACCAGUACCGUGAGGGAAAGGCGAAAAGAACCCCGGCGAGGGGAGUGAAAAAGAACCUGAAACCGUGUACGUACAAGCAGUGGGAGCACGCUUCGGCGUGUGACUGCGUACCUUUUGUAUAAUGGGUCAGCGACUUAUAUUCUGUAGCAAGGUUAACCGAAUAGGGGAGCCGAAGGGAAACCGAGUCUUAACUGGGCGUUAAGUUGCAGGGUAUAGACCCGAAACCCGGUGAUCUAGCCAUGGGCAGGUUGAAGGUUGGGUAACACUAACUGGAGGACCGAACCGACUAAUGUUGAAAAAUUAGCGGAUGACUUGUGGCUGGGGGUGAAAGGCCAAUCAAACCGGGAGAUAGCUGGUUCUCCCCGAAAGCUAUUUAGGUAGCGCCUCGUGAAUUCAUCUCCGGGGGUAGAGCACUGUUUCGGCAAGGGGGUCAUCCCGACUUACCAACCCGAUGCAAACUGCGAAUACCGGAGAAUGUUAUCACGGGAGACACACGGCGGGUGCUAACGUCCGUCGUGAAGAGGGAAACAACCCAGACCGCCAGCUAAGGUCCCAAAGUCAUGGUUAAGUGGGAAACGAUGUGGGAAGGCCCAGACAGCCAGGAUGUUGGCUUAGAAGCAGCCAUCAUUUAAAGAAAGCGUAAUAGCUCACUGGUCGAGUCGGCCUGCGCGGAAGAUGUAACGGGGCUAAACCAUGCACCGAAGCUGCGGCAGCGACACUAUGUGUUGUUGGGUAGGGGAGCGUUCUGUAAGCCUGUGAAGGUGUACUGUGAGGUAUGCUGGAGGUAUCAGAAGUGCGAAUGCUGACAUAAGUAACGAUAAAGCGGGUGAAAAGCCCGCUCGCCGGAAGACCAAGGGUUCCUGUCCAACGUUAAUCGGGGCAGGGUGAGUCGACCCCUAAGGCGAGGCCGAAAGGCGUAGUCGAUGGGAAACAGGUUAAUAUUCCUGUACUUGGUGUUACUGCGAAGGGGGGACGGAGAAGGCUAUGUUGGCCGGGCGACGGUUGUCCCGGUUUAAGCGUGUAGGCUGGUUUUCCAGGCAAAUCCGGAAAAUCAAGGCUGAGGCGUGAUGACGAGGCACUACGGUGCUGAAGCAACAAAUGCCCUGCUUCCAGGAAAAGCCUCUAAGCAUCAGGUAACAUCAAAUCGUACCCCAAACCGACACAGGUGGUCAGGUAGAGAAUACCAAGGCGCUUGAGAGAACUCGGGUGAAGGAACUAGGCAAAAUGGUGCCGUAACUUCGGGAGAAGGCACGCUGAUAUGUAGGUGAAGCGACUUGCUCGUGGAGCUGAAAUCAGUCGAAGAUACCAGCUGGCUGCAACUGUUUAUUAAAAACACAGCACUGUGCAAACACGAAAGUGGACGUAUACGGUGUGACGCCUGCCCGGUGCCGGAAGGUUAAUUGAUGGGGUUAGCGCAAGCGAAGCUCUUGAUCGAAGCCCCGGUAAACGGCGGCCGUAACUAUAACGGUCCUAAGGUAGCGAAAUUCCUUGUCGGGUAAGUUCCGACCUGCACGAAUGGCGUAAUGAUGGCCAGGCUGUCUCCACCCGAGACUCAGUGAAAUUGAACUCGCUGUGAAGAUGCAGUGUACCCGCGGCAAGACGGAAAGACCCCGUGAACCUUUACUAUAGCUUGACACUGAACAUUGAGCCUUGAUGUGUAGGAUAGGUGGGAGGCUUUGAAGUGUGGACGCCAGUCUGCAUGGAGCCGACCUUGAAAUACCACCCUUUAAUGUUUGAUGUUCUAACGUUGGCCCCUGAUCGGGGUUGCGGACAGUGUCUGGUGGGUAGUUUGACUGGGGCGGUCUCCUCCUAAAGAGUAACGGAGGAGCACGAAGGUUGGCUAAUCCUGGUCGGACAUCAGGAGGUUAGUGCAAUGGCAUAAGCCAGCUUGACUGCGAGCGUGACGGCGCGAGCAGGUGCGAAAGCAGGUCAUAGUGAUCCGGUGGUUCUGAAUGGAAGGGCCAUCGCUCAACGGAUAAAAGGUACUCCGGGGAUAACAGGCUGAUACCGCCCAAGAGUUCAUAUCGACGGCGGUGUUUGGCACCUCGAUGUCGGCUCAUCACAUCCUGGGGCUGAAGUAGGUCCCAAGGGUAUGGCUGUUCGCCAUUUAAAGUGGUACGCGAGCUGGGUUUAGAACGUCGUGAGACAGUUCGGUCCCUAUCUGCCGUGGGCGCUGGAGAACUGAGGGGGGCUGCUCCUAGUACGAGAGGACCGGAGUGGACGCAUCACUGGUGUUCGGGUUGUCAUGCCAAUGGCACUGCCCGGUAGCUAAAUGCGGAAGAGAUAAGUGCUGAAAGCAUCUAAGCACGAAACUUGCCCCGAGAUGAGUUCUCCCUGACUCCCUGAGAGUCCUGAAGGAACGUUGAAGACGACGACGUUGAUAGGCCGGGUGUGUAAGCGCAGCGAUGCGUUGAGCUAACCGGUACUAAUGAACCGUGAGG
rnacentral:rRNA from 1 species